rnacentral:rRNA from 1 species
AUUGAACGCUGGCGGCAGGCCUAACACAUGCAAGUCGAACGGUAACAGGAAGAAGCUUGCUUCUUUGCUGACGAGUGGCGGACGGGUGAGUAAUGUCUGGGAAACUGCCUGAUGGAGGGGGAUAACUACUGGAAACGGUAGCUAAUACCGCAUAACGUCGCAAGACCAAAAAGGGGGACCUUCGGGCCUCUUGCCAUCGGAUGUGCCCAGAUGGGAUUAGCUAGUAGGUGGGGUAACGGCUCACCUAGGCGACGAUCCCUAGCUGGUCUGAGAGGAUGACCAGCCACACUGGAACUGAGACACGGUCCAGACUCCUACGGGAGGCAGCAGUGGGGAAUAUUGCACAAUGGGCGAAAGCCUGAUGCAGCCAUGCCGCGUGUAUGAAGAAGGCCUUCGGGUUGUAAAGUACUUUCAGCGGGGAGGAAGGGAGGAAAGUUAAUACCUUUGCUCAUUGACGUUACCCGCAGAAGAAGCACCGGCUAACUACGUG